GAUGAACGCUAGCUACAGGCUUAACACAUGCAAGUCGAGGGGCAGCAUGGUCUUAGCUUGCUAAGGCCGAUGGCGACCGGCGCACGGGUGAGUAACACGUAUCCAACCUGCCGUCUACUCUUGGACAGCCUUCUGAAAGGAAGAUUAAUACAAGAUGGCAUCAUGAGUCCGCAUGUUCACAUGAUUAAAGGUAUUCCGGUAGACGAUGGGGAUGCGUUCCAUUAGAUAGUAGGCGGGGUAACGGCCCACCUAGUCUUCGAUGGAUAGGGGUUCUGAGAGGAAGGUCCCCCACAUUGGAACUGAGACACGGUCCAAACUCCUACGGGAGGCAGCAGUGAGGAAUAUUGGUCAAUGGGCGAGAGCCUGAACCAGCCAAGUAGCGUGAAGGAUGACUGCCCUAUGGGUUGUAAACUUCUUUUAUAAAGGAAUAAAGUCGGGUAUGCAUACCCGUUUGCAUGUACUUUAUGAAUAAGGAUCGGCUAACUCCGUGCCAGCAGCCACGGUAAUACGGAGGAUCCGAGCGUUAUCCGGAUUUAUUGGGUUUAAAGGGAGCGUAGAUGGAUGUUUAAGUCAGUUGUGAAAGUUUGCGGCUCAACCGUAAAAUUGCAGUUGAUACUGGAUAUCUUGAGUGUAGUUGAGGCAGGCGGAAUUCGUGGUGUAGCGGUGAAAUGCUUAGAUAUCACGAAGAACUCCGAUUGCGAAGGCAGCCUGCUAAGCUGCAACUGACAUUGAGGCUCGAAAGUGUGGGUAUCAAACAGG
rnacentral:rRNA from 1 species